rnacentral:rRNA from 1 species
UACGUAGGUGACCAGCGUUGUCCGGAUUUACUGGGCGUAAAGAGCGCGCAGGCGGUCGUUCAAGUCGAGUGUGAAAGCCCCCGGCUCAACUGGGGAGGGUCAUUCGAUACUGAUCGACUCGAAGGCAGGAGAGGGAAGCGGAAUUCCCGGUGUAGUGGUGAAAUGCGUAGAUAUCCGGAGGAACACCAGUGGCGAAAGCGGCCACCUGGACUGCACCUGACGCUGAGACGCGAAAGCGAGGGGAGCGAACGGG